UAUUUGUUUUAAAUUGUUUAAAUCUUCAAUUUAUGGCUAAAAUUCCAUUUGCGUACCUCUGUAGCCCAAAUAUUUGUUUCUGCAACUUCUCUUGUUUCUCCAGAGUGUUCUUCAGGAAAUAUUCAAGAAAAACCAGUUUGCCAUGGUACGACUUUUGCGUACCUCUCAGCGGAAUAGACUACAUUCUAUUGCUAUGAAACUACAAUAAAGAGACCCUUUACAUGUUUUUACAUUGUUUAAAGUUGCUUUUGAAUUUUCCUUGUUGCCGGUUUUUUAGUUAUAACAAUUUACAUUCAGCCA
rnacentral:lncRNA from 1 species